GAAGUAUUGCGCCGUUGGUGAUUACGGAAGAACCAGGAGUUUGGCGUGACCAUGAUUGCGCCACUGCAUUCCAGCCUGGGUGACAGAGUGAGACUGUCUCAAAAAAAAAAAAAAAUUAAUGAUGGUCAAAGGGUAUAAAAUCUCAGACAGGAAGAAUAUGUUUUAUGCUUUUUUUGAGUUCUGUUGUACAGUGUGGUGCCUAUACUUAAUAAUGGGGUAUUAUACAUUUCAAAAUUGAUGUUCUCAUCACAGAAAUGUAUUUGAAGUAUUGCAUAUGUUAACUAGCUUGAUUUAACUAUUCCAUAUUGUAUCCACAAUUUAUGAUAUCACUUUGUAACCCAUACAUUUAUACAAUUAU
rnacentral:lncRNA from 10 species